UUACCAGAGUGCCCUAGGCUCUCCAACCCAUUGUGAACUUACCAAACGUUCCCUCGGCGGGCGCCUGUCCUCAGCGCGCGGUGGCCUCCGGGCCUCCGGGCGUCCGCCGGGGAAAACCAAACCCUGAUUUAAUCGUAUUUCUCUGAGGCGAAAGCCCGAAAACAAAAUGAAUCAAAACUUUCAACAACGGAUCUCUUGGCUCUGGCAUCCCGAUGAAGAACGCAGCGAAAUGCGAUAAGUAAUGUGAAUUGCAGAAUUCAGUGAAUCAUCGAAUCUUUGAACGCACAUUGCGCCCGCCGGCACUCCGGCGGGCAUGCCUGUCCGAGCGAACCCUCAGGCCCACAUACGAGCCUUCCGGGGGUCCACGGGCCUGGUUCUGGGGAUCGGCGGCCCUCGCGGCCCCCGUCCCUCAAAUUCAGUCGGUCGCGCCGCAGCCUCCCCUGCGUAGUAGCACAACCUCGCACCGGAGAGCGGAACGACCACGCCGUAAAACACCCAAUUUUUUAAGGUUGACCUCGGAUCAGGUAGGAAU
rnacentral:rRNA from 1 species